CUACGGGUGGCUGCAGUGAGGAAUUUUGCGCAAUGGGGGAAACCCUGACGCAGCAACGCCGCGUGAGUGAUGAAGAUUUUCGGAUCGUAAAGCUCUGUCAAGCGGGAAAAAAUACUUUCGGUUAAUACCCGGAAGGACUGAUGGUACCGCUGGAGGAAGCACCGGCUAACUCCGUGCCAGCAGCCGCGGUAAUACGGAGGGUGCAAGCGUUGUUCGGAUUUACUGGGCGUAAAGAGCGUGUAGGCGGUUUGGCAAGUCAGAUGUGAAAGCCCUGGGCUCAACCCAGGAAGUGCAUUUGAAACUGCUAUACUAGAGUAUGGGAGAGGAGAUUGGAAUUCCCAGUGUAGAGGUGAAAUUCGUAGAUAUUGGGAGGAACACCGGUGGCGAAGGCGACUCUCUGGACCAAUACUGACGCUGAGACGCGAAAGCGUGGGGAGCAGACAGGAUUAGAUACCCGAGUAGUC
rnacentral:rRNA from 1 species